ACAGUUUCCUGGCAGGGGAGAAACAAUGAUCGUGAAAAUUGUGCUCCCAGGGUGAGGCUAUGUCAUUGCACGCCGGGUGUGCUGAUGCCUGUGAUGUCCCCGAUGCAGGAUACUCGACUGGAAAACUUUUGGUAGUGGGGGGCUGCAUUCGCACUUUCCCCCG